UCUAUCCUUGUCUGGGGGUGAGUGAGCUACUCAAUGAACGUAUAGUGAGAGCAGCCCUGCUAACACCAGAUCAGCACAUAAGCAUCACCUGGGCUUCUGUCCGGGACAUGGUGCAAUUUUUGGAAAC